rnacentral:rRNA from 1 species
CUGGGCUUGACAUCCCGAGAAUCCCCUGGAAACAGGGGAGUGCCCUUCGGGGAACUCGGAGACAGGUGCUGCAUGGCUGUCGUCAGCUCGUGUCGUGAGAUGCUGGGUUAAGUCCCGCAACGAGCGCAACCCUUGUCUUUAAUUGCCAUCAUUAAGUUGGGCACUUUAGAGAGACUGCCGGUGUUAAACCGGAGGAAGGUGGGGAUGACGUCAAGUCCUCAUGGCCUUUAUGCCCAGGGCUACACACGUGCUACAAUGGGUGGUACAAAGAGCAGCAAACUCGCGAGAGUAAGCGAAUCUCAAAAAGCCAUCCUCAGUUCGGAUUGAAGUCUGCAACUCGACUUCAUGAAGUUGGAAUCGCUAGUAAUCGCGGAUCAGCAUGCCGCGGUGAAUACGUUCC